rnacentral:rRNA from 1 species
GAUGAACGCUGGCGGCGUGCCUAAUACAUGCAAGUCGAGCGAACAGGCGCGGAGCUUGCUCCGUUGACGUUAGCGGCGGACGGGUGAGAAACAUGUGGAUAACCUCCCUAUCUGUCUGGGAUCUUUUCGGGACACCGGCGAUAAUACCGUAUAAUCUCUUGAAGCGCAUUGUUCAUUGGUGAAAGUCGGUUUUGCUGUCUCUUCUAGAUGGAUAUGCGCCGCAUUAGCUAGUUGGUAGGGUCACGGCUUACCAAGGCAACGAUGCGUAGCCGACCUGUGAGAGUGAUAGGCCACACGGGAGCGGAAACAGGGUCAAGGCGCCUACGGGAGGCAGCAGUAGGGAAUCUGACGCAAUGGGCGGAAGCCUGACGGAGCAACGCCGCGUGAGAGAUGAAAACCUUCGGAUCGGAAUACUCUGUUAUGAGGGAAGAACAAAUUUGGAAUGAACUAUGCACGGCGUGACGGUACCUAAUCAGAAAGCCACGGCUAACUACGUG